GACGAACGCUGGCGGCGUGCCUAAUACAUGCAAGUCGAACGAACCGCGACUAGGUGCUUGCACUUGGUCAAGGUGAGUGGCGAACGGGUGAGUAACACGUGGGUAACCUACCUCAUAGUGGGGGAUAACAGUCGGAAACGACUGCUAAUACCGCAUAGGACAUAGGAUCACAUGAUCCAGUGAGGAAAGGUGGCGCAAGCUAUCGCUAAGAGAUGGACCCGCGGUGCAUUAGCUAGUUGGUAGGGUAAAGGCCUACCAAGGCGAUGAUGCAUAGCCGACCUGAGAGGGUGAUCGGCCACAUUGGGACUGAGACACGGCCCAAACUCCUACGGGAGGCAGCAGUAGGGAAUCUUCCGCAAUGGACGCAAGUCUGACGGAGCAACGCCGCGUGAGUGAAGAAGGUCUUCGGAUCGUAAAGCUCUGUUGUUAGGGAAGAACAGCGCAUAGAGUAACUGUUAUGCGUGUGACGGUAUCUAACCAGAAAGCCACGGCUAACUACGUG
rnacentral:rRNA from 1 species